rnacentral:rRNA from 1 species
CCUACGGGGGGCAGUAGUGGGGAAUAUUGGACAAUGGGGGGAACCCUGAUCCAGCCAUGCCGCGUGUGUGAAGAAGGCCCUCGGGUUGUAAAGCACUUUCAGUGAGGAAGAACGCCUGGUGGUUAAUACCCAUCAGGAAAGACAUCACUCACAGAAGAAGCACCGGCUAACUCCGUGCCAGCAGCCGCGGUAAUACGGAGGGUGCGAGCGUUAAUCGGAAUUACUGGGCGUAAAGCGCGCGUAGGUGGCUUGAUAAGCCGGUUGUGAAAGCCCCGGGCUCAACCUGGGAACGGCAUCCGGAACUGUCAAGCUAGAGUGCAGGAGAGGAAGGUAGAAUUCCCGGUGUAGCGGUGAAAUGCGUAGAGAUCGGGAGGAAUACCAGUGGCGAAGGCGGCCUUCUGGACUGACACUGACACUGAGGUGCGAAAGCGUGGGUAGCAAACAGGAUUAGAUACCCUGGUAGUC